AACAAGACACUCAGCUGUACUGAUGAUGAUGAUGGUGGUAGUAUAAAGAAGACUGUGAUUUUCUCUGGGGAUCAAGAUCAUGAUUCUCAAGGUCAGUCGCUCCAGAUGCCUCAAACACACAGCAUAAUGAACAAUGAGAAUGACAGUUAAGAGACUAAAUUAAUGAAUGAAGAAAGUUGUCCUGUGUACCAGUCUUUUGUCCUGUACUGAUAACACAUGGCAUGGAUAACAUAGUGUAUGAUAAGUGUAUCUUUCUUCUGUAGGCCAUUGGCAUCCUGAGAGAAGCACUAGCUGGGGCUCACUUCAAAUCCCUCCAGAACAGGGAGGUCACAGCCAUUAUCGUUCACCAGGCUGCCAGCAGCGUCCCCACAUCUGACUUCCUCUCCAACACACACACGCUCAGACUGAGAGGCACACACACUCGGGCUUCUCCCAUCAGUGUCACUAGCUGAGAGACGGGCAGUAACGAGGGUUUGGCCAUGUCUCUCUGGGGUCAAAGUGAACGGUUGGCCAGACAGAAGAACACUAUGACCGCAGCAGACAGUGGCCACAACAGCAACAGUCGGACCGCAGCAGGAAGGAUUCGACCCCACCAAACCCUGGGACUAAACACCUCCCUCUGCAACUGGAUCCUGGACCUCUUGACGGGCCG